CCUACGGGAGGCAGCAGUGAGGGAUAUUGGUCAAUGGGGGAAACCCUGAACCAGCAACGCCGCGUGAGGGAAGACGGUUUUCGGAUUUUAAACCUCUGUCCUCUGUGAAGAUAAUGACGGUAGCAGAGGCGGAAGCUCCGGCUAACUACGUGCCAGCAGCCGCGGUAAUACGUAGGGAGCGAGCGUUGUCCGGAUUUACUGGGUGUAAAGGGUGCGUAGGCGGGUAAGUAAGUCAGAAGUGAGAUCCAUGGGCUUAACCCAUGAACUGCUUUUGAAACUGUUCAUCUAGAGUGAAGUAGCGGUAGGCGGAAUGUACGGUGUAGCGGUGAAAUGCGUAGAGAUCG
rnacentral:rRNA from 1 species